rnacentral:lncRNA from 1 species
UUUAAGUUUGUUAUAUUUUCAUUCAAGCUAAAGUGUUUUCAUGCAAUGCAUUCCUGCAAAGUCUAAAAUAUAUCAUCUAUACAAUUGAAGUUAUAGAAAGAGUGAUUUGAAAUUGCUAUAUGACAUGUUAUAUUUUCUUUUCUAUAUCUUGUUUCUUAGUUUAAAUAUAUAUAAUAUUUGUUCAUCUCUUGUUUAGGGGCUACUCUUAUGGAAAUGAUAUGUGCCUUUUCUUUUAAUUCCAGGGGAAUCAUACUCCCCCAAUUCAAUAAUACAUCAGAUAGGUUAAUUCCUGUCGAGGAACAAAUUGUAUUUUAAGUAGUAUUUUUACUAUGCUGGAUCGCCCAGGAGCAAUUACGCUGGGAUCGCCCAGGAGCAAUUAGGUUCAUUCCUGGGGAUCGCCCCAGGAAUUAGGUUCAUUCCUGUCGAGGAACAAAUAGGUUCAUUCCUGGGGAUCGCCCCAGGAACUAGGUUCAUUCCUGGGGGUCGCCCCAGGAAACACAUAGGUUCAUUCCUGGGGAUCGCCCCAGGAAACACAUAGGUUCAUUCCUGGGGAUCGCCCCAGGAACUUUUUUUACUAAUCGCUUAUUUUUAUUUUUCUCAUAUUUUGAUAAGUUUUGAAUUUAUUUUCUCAUAUUUUGAAUAGUUUGAAAUGUUUAUUUCAUUCUCUUAAGUGAAUGAGUAGCCCCAGAAAGCCAAUA